rnacentral:tRNA from 1 species
AACUAAGUCNCGGUUCNUAAAUUUGGCUAACAAAAAGGGCCAUUAGCUCAGUUGGUUAGAGCGCNCCCCUGAUAAGGGUGAGGUCNCUGGUUCGUGUCCAGUAUGGCCCACUUGAGAAGCUAAUAACUAGAAGCGAAAAGCUGAAAGUGAUAGUUAACUCUGGGGAUAUAGCUCAGUUGGUAGAGCGCCUGCUUUGCACGCAGGAAGUCAGGAGUUCGAAUNUCCUUAUCUCCACCAAACUACUANCGAGAGACCAACAAAAGCAAAAGCAAGAGUUUAGCAACUCAUCUAGUUAGGGAAAACCUAAACAACUAGAGAGNCUGCUAAAUUCUAGCGAAAGCGAGAAUUUAGAAAG